rnacentral:rRNA from 1 species
UACGGAGGGGGCGAGCGUUAUUCGGAAUUAUUGGGCGUAAAGGGCGCGUAGGCGGCUUGACAAGUCAAAGGUGAAAUCCCUCGGCUCAACUGAGGAACUGCCUUUGAAACUGUCUGGCUUGAGGCCGGGAGGGGGUAGCGGAAUUCCCAGUGUAGCGGUGAAAUGCGUAGAUAUCUGGAGGAACACCGGUGGCGAAGGCGGCAUCCUGGACCGGUAUUGACGCUGAGGCGCGAAAGCCAGGGGAGCAAACGGG